AGAAAAAGUACCUCUUUGUUUGCCUGUUCGCCUGGGGCGAAAAUGUUGGCGCCUCAGGCGAAAAUUCUGUGUCUGGGGCGAAAAUGCUCGUGCCUGAGGCGAAAUUAUCAUUUAUUGACUCCGGUUAUAAAAGGAAAAGGCAGAUCUGAGAUGAGGGAUCGAAAAUUGACAUUGGAAACAUCAAAUUGAACAACUUUUGAAGAUCUAGGAGCUUGGAGGCAAGGAUUGAAGUGUGGAAACACAUCAAGAUCAUCUUGUAAACAUGCUUUCUCUCAUUUCUUUGAUUGUAAUGUUUUCUUAUACUAUGUGUAACUAAAUUCCCGUGAUUGGUCCUUAGGGGAUUCUGAUUUCUAUUUCUCUUGAACCAUGUGAUUCUCAUUUGAAUUGAUAUAUGAAUUACGAAGUUAGUUUCUUUGAUUAUUCCUUAUGCCUAAUGCUUUAUAUGAAUUAGCUACUUAUAUGAUGAAUUCAAUGAUUUAUUUUACUAUGACAAUAGGAAUGAAUCAUUGAUCUAGGAAUAAUUGAUCGAUUAACUUUCACUUAAGACAUUUCGGAUUGUUAAUUGAGAUUUUAUAGAUUAAAGUUUGUAAUCCUCAAUUGAUCAUAGAUUACCUGAGACAUUAGGAAUCGAUGAUCAAGGGAGAGGAUUAUGUUACCAAGAC
rnacentral:lncRNA from 1 species